AAAUAUUUUGUGUGAUUUGGUGGAUUAAUUUAUUCUAACAUAAUCUUUAAAAUCACUUAAUUUAAAAUUUAAUUAUUAUUAAUCCAGAGUGCCGACGUGAUAAUGGUAUAACAAUUGACACAGAAACUAUAUUAUGUACCUGAAAUUCCCGAACAAUGCCGGAUAGCCUGGCAGUUAUCUAAAUAAAUAAAAUGCAAUGUUUGUUUAUUGUCUAUUUGUUCCAUAUAAACUUCCAAACCGACCUAUAGAGAUCAAACUUUAUACAGCGACUUCUCUUGACUUCACGAAUAACAUAAGCUAUCUUGGAUCAAGAUCGGUCCAGAGGAUGAGAGACAUUUUGGGUUGGAACGAAAACAUGUAUCCUUUAGAGUUUUGUUCGAAUCUAUUCGAUAACAUCAUAUAUGCAACAACAUGACUCUAUCGGAACAUAAACACUGGUUAUAUUUUGUGAUAUCAAAUUUGGUUCACUAAAACAACUUGAAAAAUUAGGUUAAAGUCUAAUACCUUGCACUAUGGAGUUCUAUGUCU
rnacentral:lncRNA from 1 species